rnacentral:lncRNA from 1 species
GAACACCGAGGUUCAGAUCCCUCGGGACGCUCUGGUCCACAGUGGUCCUUUCUUCUUGAAUCUUUUUAUCAUAGGUUAUAUUUCAUCUAGCCCAGCCCACCACUAAUACAGCAUCUUCAACAAAAAGUCAGAAACUCAGGUUGCGUUGUAUUUUGUGUCCACAAAUUAACAGCCUAGGAUGAGCUAUACCUACUGAGUAUUAAAAUUAAGUACUAAAAAGUUAACUCUGCAUAGGGACAAUGAGGGUACAGAUUAACUGCGCCAGGCCACCUCAAGGAAACGUGUCAGAGCUGUAGUUUAACAUCUGAGUUGUAUGGUUAUCAGGUACCUCGGCUGACCAGACAGUUAGCUUUAUUUGGCACUGUUUGUAAGGACAUGCUUACAAUGUGAGUAGACCACUUAACUAAUGGCAAGAAUGUUCUGGUAGACACAUUAGGCUGUAAAAUAGAUAAUCUGUUCCAUUUCUCCUUCGUUUGGGGAGGCAGGUAAGCUGCAGUCGCUACUGCGCUCACUGUGUGGUGACAAGAACAAGGAAGCAUGAGAAAGACUCCCCUGAGGUACUCCUCAUAUGUGGGGCUUGAAGACUAAGUGUGAGGUUUUGACCGUGAGAUAAGAAGCACCUAUGUACCGUCUGAUCGGUAGUAGUAUACUCUUCCUGAAUUGGAAGGACUCAGAGCUACUUAGUGAAACUUAUAGAAGUUCUCCAUGUCUAAAAUUUUGACUUUAACUACAAAAAUAAACUGUCAAAUCAGAUUAUUUGUCACUUUCUACUAGUUUAAGUUGGGGGAAAAAACAUAAUUGAUGAAAAAGUUGAACCCAAGAAAUUGUGUUAAUGACAGCCAAGGAAAAGUGGCUUGUGCUAUGGGCUCAACCAUCAGAUUCUGCUCAACUCAAACCUGCCAGGCUAUCUUAUUUUUAAACCGAUUCUGCAUUACAGAUGGAUGCAGCAAAUAGGAAAAUAAUCUUCAAUGGACUAUAUCUGAAAUGUAGAGCAAAAAUUUAACAACGUGAGUUCAGCUAGUAGGCUGCCUGGCUAUAUCCGAGUUCACCCCAAGGAUAUGUUAAAUGGCUUGCACACAUAAUAUGUGUCCUUUGGCUCACAUGAAAUCAUUUCUUUCACUGUUUUCCUCGACAGUAUUAGAAUCCUGGUCUAAAACUUAAAUGGCAGAAUGGGAAAACUUUGCCCCAAGUAGAAGUCAAGCCUGCUCUUUAAAUGGAAUGACUGGCUGGUAUUCUUUAUUGCAUUUCAGAGCCAAGUUAACUGAUCUUAAUGCAUACACAUGUCAUUUUCCCAGUUGUGUCCUUUUAAGCCCCCCAGUACAUGCAAUUACCAUUAAAUUACUUCUAAAGGACCUUCAGUAAUUUCUUCUUUGGAGAAGGCAGAGACUCAUUUGUAUAUGGGUAAGUCUCAACACUUGGGCACAAGGAAACCAGCAGAAUUACAGAGGAUGGUAACUACUGACAAGGGAAAUCCUUGGAACUCACCACACAUCCCCAACUUUUAAAGACUACUAGACAUUUAUAAAACAACAAAUUGGUACCUUUAAAGGGAACAGAAAUUGAAUUCAAUCAACCACAUAUUAGACUAGGCACGCUUUUUCUUCAGCUAGUGGUGAACAUUAACACACAAGACAACGAGCUAUAUUCAUCACACAUACCCAGCUUCUCAAACAUCUUUUGAAUUGGAACUUCAUUGGCAUCUACCAUCACGCGCUUCUCAUCUAGCAUUAAGACGUUCAUGGAAAGCCAUUUGGAUGACAUCCAGAGGGGAUGAUCUGCAAAUAGCAACAACUGUUAAACCACGAAUGUCUGAUGCCAUUCUUCCUUAGAGCAGUGACUUACCAGGGAAGGAUGCUGAAGACAGAGAGCUCAGUCCCUUUCCUGCCUCACCUCCCAUAUGAAAACCUAUUUUACUAUCUCACUCUGUUUUACUACCUUUUUCUUUCUGGCAAGUUUUCUCUAUGACAUGGAUUCUCCCGCCUUCCCUGUGCUGGUACUACAGACCUGUUCCACCACGCUCUGCUUCUAAGUAGUCUUUGUACCACUGGGGAUCAAACCCAGGGACUUAAGCAUGCUAGGCAAGUUGUCUACCACUGAGCUACAUUCCCAGCUCUGAGAACCUAUUUUUUAAUUGUAAACCAACAUAACUAUAAAUACAGCAAAACCAUCCAUACUCGUUAGACAUUUGGAAUCCAUCCUAUCUUAUUUUAAAAGUCGUAUCUUGUUUUAUAUAAUAUUUUCAAAAGUAUGCUUUCUAAUUUUGUUUUCUAUAAAAGAAAAACUCACAAACACAUGUUGCAGCCUGACUCUAGGUUAGCUCUCACUUUACUGCCCCGAGGGGAAAUGCUGACUCUAAAUUGAUUAGACUUAGCUACUCUAUAGGUGAAGAUCCCUGAUCAGGAAGGAUGUGAAAAUAGACCUACCAUCGGGGAUGACUGGUGUUGGAGGAGUAACUAUGGUCCAUCCUGCUUUCUUGAAAAGAUCAAUCUGUAAGACCAAACGACAACAGAAUUAAAUCCACGUGUGUUAGUUUCUGGCAGCCCUUGUUUUUACUUUUUUAAGAUGGGGUCUGGCAUGUAGCCCAGGCUGGCCUUGAUCUUGCAAUCCACCUACCUCAACAUCACCAGUAGUUAGGAUUAUAGGCACGUGCUAUCAUGCUCAGCUCUCCUUAUCAUUAAUAACUCUUUUUGGCAAUUCUUUGUCUCCUCCAUUUCCAAAGUUGGGAUGUAUGAAAUGUUUAAAAGUUGAUACUUUCGUUUAAAUUCUAAUUUAAAAUAGCUGUGGAUGCCUGUAUCGGGUCUGUACAAGAAUGAUCUUGGCGUGUCGACAGUGAGUCAUGGGUGGAGGAGGGGCUCAGCCCACCCUUCCAUAAUGAACUGUUGGCCAUUCUCAGGUCAUUGUCUUCACUUCGUACCCAGUGGUGAGACCACCAUGCUCUGGUGGGUAAGCACAAAUCAAAUGGGUCACAAAACAGACCCAAAGGUCACAAGUCUGGGAAGGGACUGGCAGGGAGGAGUUGGGUUGGGAAGAUGAGAGAGUUGAGGAAAGAAUGCAUCCUAUGUCUGAAGUUUUCAAAGAACAAACUGAACUACAUUAUGAUGAUGAAGAUUACUUGUGUGUGUGUGUGUGUGUGUGUGUGUGUGUGUGUGUGUAUGCCUAUGUGUGACCUUUUCCUCCCAGCGACCCCAAAACACCCAUGGAAGGAGUUUGGAGCUGAGAAGAAAGGAUGGACCAUCUAGAGACUGCCAUAUCUGGGGAUCCAUCCCAUAAUCAGCUUCCAAACGCUGACACCAUUGCAUACACUAGCAAGAUUUUAUCGAAAGGACCCUGAUAUAGCUGUCUCUUGUAAGACUAUUCCGGGGCCUGGCAAACACAGAAGUGGAUGCUCACAGUCAGCUAUUGGAUGGAUCACAGGGCCCCCAAUGGAGGAGCUAGAGAAAGCACCCAAGGAGCUGAAGGGAUCUGCAAUCCUAUAGGUGGAACAACAAUAUGAACUAACCAAUACCCCCCCCGCCCCCCGAGCUUGUGUCUCUAGCUGCAUAUGAAUCAGAAGAUGGCAUAGUUGGCCAUCAGUGGAAAGAGAGGCCCAUUGGUUGUGCAAAUUUUAUAUGCCUCAGUACAGGGGAAUGCCAGGGCCAAGAAGUGGGUGUGGGUGGGUAGGGGAGUGGGUGAGGGAGCGUGUGGGGGACUUUUGGGAUAGCAUUGGAAAUGUAAAUGAAAUAAAUACCCAAUUUUAAAAAACGAACAAACAAAACAAAACAAACAAACAAAGAACUAUUAAAGCUUUUCAAGGUUCAAAAUUUAAAAUUCCAAAGAUAAAUUCCUCAUUAAAGAAAACUUAAAUAACUCCUAUUUAAUUAUAAGAGAACACCAUUGUGAUGUUGCCAAACUCACAGACUGUAUGGUCCACAGUUCCAUCAUUCUGCACGGCCACGAAUAAGGACAAAUGUCAGAGAUGUAGUCUCAAAGCACCAUAGUUGCCACUAGAUAUCCAUUACAAGCCAGCCAUCUCUAUGUACAACUAUACACUCACUUAGGACAUCAACACAUUCUACUAAAAUGAAACGAGUCAUCCUGGUCAUUGGGUGUGAAAAUCAGGGUUUGAAAUGAACUGUGCACACACAACAGGAAAGUGCUUUUUAAAGGGUGUCCUGCAGCCUUGCAAAUGACUCACGGUCCAGCUGGACUGAGAGGCAAGAGGCUGAGGGAGAUAGGGAGAGAGCAGCCAAGGCUUGGCAGAUCUGCUCCUUCCCAGAAUGGGACAGGCUGAGGAGAGUCUGACCCAUUUGAAGGGGAAGACAACUGCUGUUCAGUGGCAUUGCUCUGGCCACACUGAAGUCACUUGCUUACAGUCCUGUUGAACCACAAUUGGAAAUGGUAAGGACAUCACUGUUGAAUAAUGUAGUCAGACACAAAUUCAACGCUUUGACAAUAACAAACAGUUAAAGUCUAAGUCUGAUGGUACUAUAUGAAACAUCACAACAGCAGUGUAGACUUCUGCACAUUGAGUAUCUUGUAAAUAUACCAUGAGCAAUUC